rnacentral:rRNA from 1 species
GACGAACGCUGGCGGCGUGCCUAAUACAUGCAAGUCGAACGCAGUGGGGACGGGUGAGUAACACGUGGGUAACCUCCCAUCAGAGGGGAUAACACUUGGAAACAGGUGCUAAACCGAUACUGAUGGAUGGACCCGCGGUGCAUUAGCUGGUUGGCGGGGUAAAGGCCCACCAAGGCGACGAUCAGUAGCGGUUCUGAGAGGAUGAUCCGCCACACUGGGACUGAGACACGGCCCAGACUCCUACGGGAGGCAGCAGUGGGGAAUUUUGGACAAGGGGCGCAAGCCUGAUCCAGCCAUGCCGCGUGUCUGAAGAAGGCCUUCGGGUUGUAAAGGACUUUUGUCAGGGAAGCGGUACCGGAAUAGAAAGCCACGGCUAACUACGUGCCAGCAGCCGCGGUAAUUC